CGAAGGGGCUAGCGUUGUUCGGAAUUACUGGGCGUAAAGGGCGCGUAGGCGGCCUUGAUAGUUGGGCGUGAAAGGCCUGGGCUCAACCCGGGAACUGCGUUCAAUACUGUAAGGCUAGAGUGUGGGAGAGGUUGGUGGAAUUCCCAGUGUAGAGGUGAAAUUCGUAGAUAUCGGGAAGAACACCGGUGGCGAAGGCGGCCAACUGGACCACAACUGACGCUGAGGCGCGAAAGCGUGGGGAGCAAACAGGAUUAGAUACCCUGGUAGUCCACGCUGUAAACUAUGUGUGCUUGACGUCGGGGGGCCUAGCCCUUCGGUGUCGGAGCUAACGCGGUAAGCACACCGCCUGGGGAGUACGGUCGCAAGAUUA
rnacentral:rRNA from 1 species